rnacentral:rRNA from 1 species
CCUACGGGUGGCUGCAGUGGGGAAUAUUGCACAAUGGGGGGAACCCUGAUGCAGCGACGCCGCGUGAGUGAAGAAGUAUUUCGGUAUGUAAAGCUCUAUCAGCAGGGCAGAAAAUGACGGUACCUGACUAAGAAGCCCAGGCUAACUACGUGCCAGCAGCCGCGGUAAGACGUAGGGUGCAAGCGUUAUCCGGAUUUACUGGGUGUAAAGGGAGCGGAGACGGUGCAGCAAGUCUGAUGUGAAAUGUCGGGGCGCAACCCCGGGACUGCAUUGGAAACUGGUGGACUGGAGUACAGGAGAGGUAAGCGGAAUUCCUGGUGUAGCGGUGAAAUGCGUAGAGAUUAGGAGGAACACCAGUGGCGAAGGCGGCUGACUGGACUGUAACUGACGUUGAGGCUCGAAAGCGUGGGGAGCAAACAGGAUUAGAUACCCGAGUAGUC